CGAGGGCGGGUCCGGGUGCCCCGGCUCACACGGCGGUGUGGCGGCGCUCGGAGAAGACGCGCAGCGUGAAGUCGGCCUCGUCGCCGGCGCGGGCGGCGCUGGGCACCACCAGCCCCUCCACGCCUGUCCCCUGCUGCUUCCGCUAAGCCUUGGGGUCCCACCUGGAACACGUGGAAACCCACGGUGAGGCCUCACCGUUGCCAGGCUGGCUCCCGCCAGAGUUGAAGCCCCGCACCCAGCGGCCUUGGAAAGUGUGGAUGUGCCAGCCACCCCCCGCUGGGCUCGGGCCCAGCACCUCGGGGCUCAGCGAGCAGACCUGGACGGUGUUGAAGCAUCGGACGAAGUCCUCCAGCCCCAUCCUGCCGGGUGGCCAGCGCUCAGGCCCCGGUCCACUCCACGCGGCCCCAUGGGUUCCGCAGCCGCAGCAGCCGCACCUUGGUGAAGCCCAGGGACACCUGAGGACAGCAUCAUCCGUGGGCGGUGGCGCCGAGGCACCCCUGUAGCCCGUUCGCGGGGGAUACUCACCUUGUAUGUGCCCGUGACUGAAUACGCGUGUCCCUUCACCAGCCCGUCUUCGGUGCGGUACUCGCCCCGAUCACUCUGGGCGGAGGACAGGGGAUGCUGAGGCCACGGUGAGGGGACAAGAGAGUGGCUGCUCCUCUCUGCCCCCCCCCCGCCCCCUUCUCCUGCCACCACAGCAGGAGUCAAGCAGAGCCCCUUGAGGGGCGUCGGAUGGGGGAGUGAAGGCGAGAGGGGAAGGAGAGAGAGGAAGAGGAAGAUGAGACAAAAAUACUUGGAGAGGACAGAGACGUGGACACAGAGAAAGAUGCAGGCCAGAGACUGAAAGAGGCAGAGAAACCCAAAGGACCGGGAAUCAGUAACUGAGCACAGGAUCAAGCAAAUGAAUGAGGGAAGGAAUUAGACCAAUUCAGCGAAUGACUAUGUGAUGGGGUCACAGAUGAACAUAUGACUCAAGCUGAGCCCAUGAAAGUCAAUCCUAAGACUUUCGCUGAAAUUCUCAGAAAGAGGCUUUGCCUUAAAAAAAAGUGGGGGCGGGGCGGGCGCCUGGGUGGGUCAGUCGGUUAGGCCUCCGACUUCAGCUCAGGUCAUGAUCUCGCGGUCCGUGAGUUCGAGC